rnacentral:rRNA from 1 species
CCUACGGGAGGCAGCAGUAGGGAAUAUUGCUCAAUGGGGGAAACCCUGAAGCAGCAACGCCGCGUGGAGGAUGAAGGUUUUCGGAUUGUAAACUCCUUUUGUUAGAGAAGAUAAUGACGGUAUCUAACGAAUAAGCACCGGCUAACUCCGUGCCAGCAGCCACGGUAAUACGGAGGGUGCAAGCGUUACUCGGAAUCACUGGGCGGAAAGAGCGCGUAGGCGGGAUAGCAAGUCAGAUGUGAAAUCCUAUGGCUUAACCAUAGAACUGCAUUUGAAACUGUUAUUCUAGAGUAUGGGAGAGGUAGGUGGAAUUCGUGGUGUAGGGGUAAAAUCCGUAGAGAUCAAGAGGAAUACUCAUUGCGAAGGCGACCUGCUAGAACAUAACUGACGCUGAUGCGCGAAAGCGUGGGGAGCAAACAGGAUUAGAUACCCUAGUAGUC